CAUGCUUCUACAUCUGUUAGUGAUUCCAGAUUGUUGACGAAAUAUCGUAUAGUGCCACAUUUACGUUUAGAUGGCCAUUGAUGUUCAGGCUGUUUUGAAGGUGUGCUUAAAGCUGUUCCUGCUGCUGCUGUCCUUGGUUGGUUGGUUGGUAACACCGCAGCAUCACACACUACAACGAAUCGCAAAGAUUUCGAUGGCCAUUGAAGUUGAGGCUGUUAAUGAAGAUGCUACCUAAUAAGAUGGUGAAAAGGUA